GAUGAACGCUGGCGGCGUGCCUAAUACAUGCAAGUCGAGCGAACAGACGAGGAGCUUGCUCCUCUGACGUUAGCGGCGGACGGGUGAGUAACACGUGGAUAACCUACCUAUAAGACUGGGAUAACUUCGGGAAACCGGAGCUAAUACCGGAUAACAUGUUGAACCGCAUGGUUCAACAGUGAAAGACGGUCUUGCUGUCACUUAUAGAUGGAUCCGCGCCGCAUUAGCUAGUUGGUAAGGUAACGGCUUACCAAGGCAACGAUGCGUAGCCGACCUGAGAGGGUGAUCGGCCACACUGGAACUGAGACACGGUCCAGACUCCUACGGGAGGCAGCAGUAGGGAAUCUUCCGCAAUGGGCGAAAGCCUGACGGAGCAACGCCGCGUGAGUGAAGAAGGUCUUGGGAUCGUAAAACUCUGUUAUUAGGGAAGAACAAAUGUGUAAGUAACUAUGCACGUCUUGACGGUACCUAAUCAGAAAGCCACGGCUAACUACGUG
rnacentral:rRNA from 1 species